ensembl:lncRNA
UGAUGUCACUUCCUUAGCGGGAAAACAACUGUGGUGAACUUGAUGCCUGCCUUAGAUGCCAUUAAAGGAACAAUGAAGAUUCAUCAGGUUGUCAGUGUCUCACCAGGCCAGAUAAAAUACAGGGACAUUACUUGUCUGUGCAAGGAUAGUGGCAUGUUGGACUGUCAUUGUUUUCAGCUCAAAGAGGCAACUCUGGGUGACCAUGCAGCAUCUAACCAGCUCCCUGCAUCUCAUGACAAGGCUGACACCACAUGGCGACCUGGCACCAUUGAACUUAAUCACGUAGGGGAGUGGUGUGUUGUCAAUUAUGACCAUGAACGAUACCCUGGCAUCAUCAUGGACAUAAAGGAACAUAACAUCUGGUCAAGUCCAAAGGAAGAUAUUUGUUGGUACUCUGAUGGACAGAUACUUUGUCUGAUGCCAGAGCCACAGGCAGUUAAUAAACGCUCUGUGCAGAUGGAAAAAUAAAGUAUGUGGAAGAGCAUUUGGGGUGAAAGGGGGGAGAGAUGGAAAGAGGGGGAGCGAGAGAGAGAGAGAGGAAGAGAGGGACAGGAAUGUGUUUUAAUGCUAAUUCCAAUGAUUUUGUACCGGCAAUGUAUUUUUGUGUUGUUGUUUUUCACAAUGAAACUAAAUAGCAGUUCCAAUGUUGUUACUACAUCUAUUUCUAUGUAGAUGUCUAUUCAGUGUUCAGUAUUCAGUGUUCAGGGUUUAAUUUAUGUUCUGUCCCGUUAUAGCUGUCCACCGUGUUAUUUGGAAUCUUUUUCAAAUGAAUUCAAUUACAUUGUCAAACAUCAGAAAUAUGUGUGUAAUGUAUUUUAAAGAGUAAGACACGACCAACACCACAUAAUUAUAAACUUGGAUAAAAUAUCAUUAAUACCUGUCUCAAUUUAGAAAGAUAAGGUGCAAAUUAGAUGAAGUUCAGUAUAAAACCAAACAUUGUAAACAAAAUCUGCUAUUUCUUUAUAUUUUGACCAGAACAAAUGGACAGGGUUGACAAGGGGACACAAUAGCUUUAUGAAAAUGUAAAUAUUAUUAAAAUAGUUGAAUGAAAGUAAUUAAAGACAGUUAAGUGCAUGUCCGUAACAGGGUGGACAUAGCAUAUGGCUGAUUCACUGAAAAUGUGUUUAUAAUUAUCUAACUCCUGGAGCUUGGCCAACAUGUUUUUCUACCAGUCUAAAACUUCCUUUUUAUAGUAAAACAUUAAAGGAAUACAACAAUUGUAGUUGCAUGGUCCAAAUGGUACUGUUUUGUGAUAUUGACCCAAAUAUCUUAAAACCUG